UAAGACGGAGGGUGCUAGCGUUGUUCGGAAUUACUGGGCGUAAAGGGCGCGUAGGCGGCCUGGUCAGUCGGGUGUGAAAGCCCGGGGCUCAACCCCGGAACGGCACCCGAGACGGUCAGGCUGGAGACCGGGAGAGGAGGGUGGAAUAGCCAGUGUAGAGGUGAAAUUCGUAGAUAUUGGCUGGAACACCGGUGGCGAAAGCGGCUCUCUGGCCCGGUUCUGACGCUGAGGCGCGAAAGCGUGGGGAGCAAACAGG
rnacentral:rRNA from 1 species